rnacentral:piRNA from 1 species
UAGGAAGUGUUAUCCUUUUGGCAGCAUC